AUUGAACGCUGGCGGCAGGCCUAACACAUGCAAGUCGAACGAGUGGCGGAAGGGUGAGUAAUGUCUGGGAAACUGCCCGAUGGAGGGGGAUAACUACUGGAAACGGUAGCUAAUACCGCAUACCAUCGGAUGUGCCCAGAUGGUAUUAGCUAGUAGGUGGGGUAACGGCGCCCCUAGGAGACGAUCCCUAGCUGGUCUGAGAGGAUGACCAGCCAAACGGGAAUUGGAACACGUGCCAGACUCCUACGGGCGGCAGCAGUGGGGAUUAUUGCACAAUGGGCGAAAGCCUGAUGCAGCCAUGCCGCGUGUAUGAAGAAGGCCUGCGGGUUGUAAAGUACUUUCAGCGAGGAGGCGUUACUCGCAGAAGAAGCACCGGCUAACUCCGUGCCAGCAGCCGCGGUAAAC
rnacentral:rRNA from 1 species